rnacentral:rRNA from 1 species
AGGAUUAACGCUGGCGGCGUGCCUAACACAUGCAAGUCGAACGAGGUAGCAAUACCUAGUGGCAGACGGGUGAGUAACGCGUGGUCAACCUACCCUAGAGUGGGGGAUAACUAGCCGAAAGGUUAGCUAAUACCGCAUGAAACGUUAGCGAGGCAUCUCGUGACGUUGAAAGGAGCAAUCCGCUCAAGGACGGGACCGCGUCCGAUUAGCUAGUUGGUGAGGGUAAUGGCCCACCAAGGCUCCGAUCGGUAGCUGGUUUGAGAGAGCGACCAGCCACACUGGGACCGAGAAACGGCCCAGACUCCUACGGGAGGCAGCAGUGAGGAAUUUUCCGCAAUGGGCGAAAGCCUGACGGAGCGACGCCGCGUGUGGGAAGAAGGCCUUCGGGUCGUAAACCACUGUCGAAGGGGACUAUACUGAAGGUACCCUUGGAGGAAGCCCCGGCUAACUACGUGCCAGCAGCCGC